rnacentral:lncRNA from 1 species
CAGGUGGUUUAAUACCAGCAGCAUUAACAGGAUGUAAAGCAACCAGGUGGUUUAAUACCAGCAGCAUUAACAGGAUGUAAAGUAACCAGGUGGUUUAAUACCAGCAGCAUUAACAGGAUGUAAAGUAACCAGGUGGUUUAAUACCAGCAGCAUUAACAGGAUGUAAAGCAACCAGGUGGUUUAAUACCAGCAGCAUUAACAGGAUGUAAAGCAACCAGGUGGUUUAAUACCAGCAGCAUUAACAGGAUGUAAAGCAACCAGGUGGUUUAAUACCAGCAGCAUUAACAGGAUGUAAAGUAACCAGGUGGUUUAAUACCAGCAGCAUUAACAGGAUGUAAAGCAACCAGGUGGUUUAAUACCAGCAGCAUUAACAGGAUGUAAAGUAACCAGGUGGUUUAAUACCAGCAGCAUUAACAGGAUGUAAAGUAACCAGGUGGUUUAAUACCAGCAGCAUUAACAGGAUGUAAAGUAACCAGGUGGUAUAAUACCAGCAGCAUUAACAGGAUGUAAAGCAACCAGGUGGUUUAAUACCAGCAGCAUUAACAGGAUGUAAAGCAACCAGGUGGUUUAAUACCAGCAGCAUUAACAGGAUGUAAAGCAACCAGGUGGUUUAAUACCAGCAGCAUUAACAGGAUGUAAAGUAACCAG